AUUGUUUCCACUUCUCACUAGGGCAGCUACUCUAUUGAAUAUUGAGGUUUUUGGGUACCUGAAAGAAAAUGGUUUGCUUCUUCCAUUGGCAAUGUCUUCAAAUAAUCUUGGAUGUUCUAGAUGGCUCUGUGGUGGGCAAUAAAAGCAAGCAUCAGGAUCCAGUGCUGCAGACUACAGAGUUUCGGAUACUGCUGGACAAGAUGAGUAUUGAGUUCAGUGCACAGGGCAGAUACUCUAUUGAAUGUUGAGGUUUUUGGGUACCUGAAAGAGAAAAGGGUUUGCUUCAUCCAUUAGCAAAUUUGCAAGAGGAAGCCAAUGUCUUGAAACACGGAGGACAGCUGUGUGGGUGACAUUAAAAGCAAGCAUCAGGAUCCAGUGCUGCAGACUAUUGUGUCUCCGAAGCUGCCGGACUCGAUGUUUAUUGACUUCGGUGCACAGGGCAGCUACUCUAUUGAAUAUUGAGGUUUUUGGGUACCUGAAAGAAAAUGGUUUGCUUCUUCCAUUGGCAAUGUCUUCAAAUAAUCUUGGAUGUUCUAGAUGGCUCUGUGGUGGGCAAUAAAAGCAAGCAUCAGGAUCCAGUGCUGCAGACUACAGAGUUUCGGAUACUGCUGGACAAGAUGAGUAUUGAGUUCAGUGCACAGGGCAGAUACUCUAUUGAAUGUUGAGGUUUUUGGGUACCUGAAAGAGAAAAGGGUUUGCUUCAUCCAUUAGCAAAUUUGCAAGAGGAAGCCAAUGUCUUGAAACACGGAGGACAGCUGUGUGGGUGACAUUAAAAGCAAGCAUCAGGAUCCAGUGCUGCAGACUAUUGUGUCUCCGAAGCUGCCGGACUCAAUGUUUAUUGACUUCGGUGCACAGGGCAGCUACUCUAUUGAAUAUUGAGGUUUUUGGGUACCUGAAAGAAAAUGGUUUGCUUCUUCCAUUGGCAAUGUCUUCAAAUAAUCUUGGAUGUUCUAGAUGGCUCUGUGGUGGGCAAUAAAAGCAAGCAUCAGGAUCCAGUGCUGCAGACUACAGAGUUUCGGAUACUGCUGGACAAGAUGAGUAUUGAGUUCAGUGCACAGGGCAGAUACUCUAUUGAAUGUUGAGGUUUUUGGGUACCUGAAAGAGAAAAGGGUUUGCUUCAUCCAUUAGCAAAUUUGCAAGAGGAAGCCAAUGUCUUGAAACACGGAGGACAGCUGUGUGGGUGACAUUAAAAGCAAGCAUCAGGAUCCAGUGCUGCAGACUAUUGUGUCUCCGAAGCUGCCGGACUCAAUGUUUAUUGACUUCGGUGCACAGGGCAGCUACUCUAUUGAAUAUUGAGGUUUUUGGGUACCUGAAAGAAAAUGGUUUGCUUCUUCCAUUGGCAAUGUCUUCAAAUAAUCUUGGAUGUUCUAGAUGGCUCUGUGGUGGGCAAUAAAAGCAAGCAUCAGGAUCCAGUGCUGCAGACUACAGAGUUUCGGAUACUGCUGGACAAGAUGAGUAUUGAGUUCAGUGCACAGGGCAGAUACUCUAUUGAAUGUUGAGGUUUUUGGGUACCUUAAAGAGAAAAGGGUUUGCUUCAUCCAUUAGCAAAUUUGCAAGAGGAAGCCAAUGUCUUGAAACACGGAGGACAGCUGUGUGGGUGACAUUAAAAGCAAGCAUCAGGAUCCAGUGCUGCAGACUAUUGUGUCUCCGAAGCUGCCGGACUCGAUGUUUAUUGACUUCGGUGCACAGGGCAGCUACUCUAUUGAAUAUUGAGGUUUUUGGGUACCUGAAAGAAAAUGGUUUGCUUCUUCCAUUGGCAAUGUCUUCAAAUAAUCUUGGAUGUUCUAGAUGGCUCUGUGGUGGGCAAUAAAAGCAAGCAUCAGGAUCCAGUGCUGCAGACUACAGAGUUUCGGAUACUGCUGGACAAGAUGAGUAUUGAGUUCAGUGCACAGGGCAGAUACUCUAUUGAAUGUUGAGGUUUUUGGGUACCUGAAAGAGAAAAGGGUUUGCUUCAUCCAUUAGCAAAUUUGCAAGAGGAAGCCAAUGUCUUGAAACACGGAGGACAGCUGUGUGGGUGACAUUAAAAGCAAGCAUCAGGAUCCAGUGCUGCAGACUAUUGUGUCUCCGAAGCUGCCGGACUCAAUGUUUAUUGACUUCGGUGCACAGGGCAGCUACUCUAUUGAAUAUUGAGGUUUUUGGGUACCUGAAAGAAAAUGGUUUGCUUCUUCCAUUGGCAAUGUCUUCAAAUAAUCUUGGAUGUUCUAGAUGGCUCUGUGGUGGGCAAUAAAAGCAAGCAUCAGGAUCCAGUGCUGCAGACUACAGAGUUUCGGAUACUGCUGGACAAGAUGAGUAUUGAGUUCAGUGCACAGGGCAGAUACUCUAUUGAAUGUUGAGGUUUUUGGGUACCUGAAAGAGAAAAGGGUUUGCUUCAUCCAUUAGCAAAUUUGCAAGAGGAAGCCAAUGUCUUGAAACACGGAGGACAGCUGUGUGGGUGACAUUAAAAGCAAGCAUCAGGAUCCAGUGCUGCAGACUAUUGUGUCUCCGAAGCUGCCGGACUCGAUGUUUAUUGACUUCGGUGCACAGGGCAGCUACUCUAUUGAAUAUUGAGGUUUUUGGGUACCUGAAAGAAAAUGGUUUGCUUCUUCCAUUGGCAAUGUCUUCAAAUAAUCUUGGAUGUUCUAGAUGGCUCUGUGGUGGGCAAUAAAAGCAAGCAUCAGGAUCCAGUGCUGCAGACUACAGAGUUUCGGAUACUGCUGGACAAGAUGAGUAUUGAGUUCAGUGCACAGGGCAGAUACUCUAUUGAAUGUUGAGGUUUUUGGGUACCUGAAAGAGAAAAGGGUUUGCUUCAUCCAUUAGCAAAUUUGCAAGAGGAAGCCAAUGUCUUGAAACACGGAGGACAGCUGUGUGGGUGACAUUAAAAGCAAGCAUCAGGAUCCAGUGCUGCAGACUAUUGUGUCUCCGAAGCUGCCGGACUCGAUGUUUAUUGACUUCGGUGCACAGGGCAGCUACUCUAUUGAAUAUUGAGGUUUUUGGGUACCUGAAAGAAAAUGGUUUGCUUCUUCCAUUGGCAAUGUCUUCAAAUAAUCUUGGAUGUUCUAGAUGGCUCUGUGGUGGGCAAUAAAAGCAAGCAUCAGGAUCCAGUGCUGCAGACUACAGAGUUUCGGAUACUGCUGGACAAGAUGAGUAUUGAGUUCAGUGCACAGGGCAGAUACUCUAUUGAAUGUUGAGGUUUUUGGGUACCUGAAAGAGAAAAGGGUUUGCUUCAUCCAUUAGCAAAUUUGCAAGAGGAAGCCAAUGUCUUGAAACACGGAGGACAGCUGUGUGGGUGACAUUAAAAGCAAGCAUCAGGAUCCAGUGCUGCAGACUAUUGUGUCUCCGAAGCUGCCGGACUCAAUGUUUAUUGACUUCGGUGCACAGGGCAGCUACUCUAUUGAAUAUUGAGGUUUUUGGGUACCUGAAAGAAAAUGGUUUGCUUCUUCCAUUGGCAAUGUCUUCAAAUAAUCUUGGAUGUUCUAGAUGGCUCUGUGGUGGGCAAUAAAAGCAAGCAUCAGGAUCCAGUGCUGCAGACUACAGAGUUUCGGAUACUGCUGGACAAGAUGAGUAUUGAGUUCAGUGCACAGGGCAGAUACUCUAUUGAAUGUUGAGGUUUUUGGGUACCUGAAAGAGAAAAGGGUUUGCUUCAUCCAUUAGCAAAUUUGCAAGAGGAAGCCAAUGUCUUGAAACACGGAGGACAGCUGUGUGGGUGACAUUAAAAGCAAGCAUCAGGAUCCAGUGCUGCAGACUAUUGUGUCUCCGAAGCUGCCGGACUCAAUGUUUAUUGACUUCGGUGCACAGGGCAGCUACUCUAUUGAAUAUUGAGGUUUUUGGGUACCUGAAAGAAAAUGGUUUGCUUCUUCCAUUGGCAAUGUCUUCAAAUAAUCUUGGAUGUUCUAGAUGGCUCUGUGGUGGGCAAUAAAAGCAAGCAUCAGGAUCCAGUGCUGCAGACUACAGAGUUUCGGAUACUGCUGGACAAGAUGAGUAUUGAGUUCAGUGCACAGGGCAGAUACUCUAUUGAAUGUUGAGGUUUUUGGGUACCUGAAAGAGAAAAGGGUUUGCUUCAUCCAUUAGCAAAUUUGCAAGAGGAAGCCAAUGUCUUGAAACACGGAGGACAGCUGUGUGGGUGACAUUAAAAGCAAGCAUCAGGAUCCAGUGCUGCAGACUAUUGUGUCUCCGAAGCUGCCGGACUCAAUGUUUAUUGACUUCGGUGCACAGGGCAGCUACUCUAUUGAAUAUUGAGGUUUUUGGGUACCUGAAAGAAAAUGGUUUGCUUCUUCCAUUGGCAAUGUCUUCAAAUAAUCUUGGAUGUUCUAGAUGGCUCUGUGGUGGGCAAUAAAAGCAAGCAUCAGGAUCCAGUGCUGCAGACUACAGAGUUUCGGAUACUGCUGGACAAGAUGAGUAUUGAGUUCAGUGCACAGGGCAGAUACUCUAUUGAAUGUUGAGGUUUUUGGGUACCUGAAAGAGAAAAGGGUUUGCUUCAUCCAUUAGCAAAUUUGCAAGAGGAAGCCAAUGUCUUGAAACACGGAGGACAGCUGUGUGGGUGACAUUAAAAGCAAGCAUCAGGAUCCAGUGCUGCAGACUAUUGUGUCUCCGAAGCUGCUGGACUCUGUUUAUUGACUUCACAAUACGUUGUAUGGUGUUCUGUGGUGUGACUGGCAGUGUCACAGAAAAAUAAUAGUAUAGUACACUGGGAUAUAGCACUAAAAAAAAUUAUUUUUUUUCAAUUCUUUUCUUUCUUUUUUUUUUUUACACUGGAGCAGAGUACCUCUAGAUUGACAGAGCACCCCUGGAUGGACACAGCAUGGACAGAGCACCCCUAGCACCUUGAUGGACAACAGUGCAGUACCCUGGAUAGACAACACAGCACGGACACAUCCGCUCACUACAAGCUUUACAGCCGGACUGAAAUGGCGCCGAUCACCGGGGGCUUUAUAUAGAUUCCAUAACCCGCGAGAAUACAAUAGCAGGAGGAUGACGUUUGUCCUCGUUUUGAGACCUGGAGGGAAAACCGAAGCUGGACGCGGAUCCUUGCCUUGAUCAGGAAGUUUGGGUGGGUCCGGCGGACCCACUCAUCUCUAAAUAUUAUCUGCAAUUUAUUUUCUUAACAUGUGAAAAGUGGGGUUGUUGUUAUUAUCAUCCUUUUUCUCCGGCAGAGUCCACAGGUUAUCAACAGGAUAACAAUGGGAUAUGAUGGAGCGACAGCGGAUUUGCACAAAUCAGUCA